CUUUAUGUUUAUACAACUCCUGCUCCUGGACACGCUGGUUCAAAGAGACAGAGAACAACUGGAGAAGCUAAGGACAGGACCUGAAAAGCAUUGUGAUAUGAAACAGGGAGAAGCACUGCAGCAAAGCAAAAGGGUGCAUAUGUAUUUACCCUUAGAUUACACCUUAAGCAUUUUCCAAAUUCUAAACAUGGCGGGCAAGGGAUCUUUGGGGUAUUUACUAGAGUAAGACCUCACUUUGUGCAAUGGGGUGGGAGGGCUGGCAGCAUACCAGGAUCAUGUUAUUGUAACUUGUGCAUGACCCAAAUAAUGACCUGCUUGUGGUGGUGAAAGUGAACUGGUCUUGUGGGGAUGUGCAGGCUGAGCUGUUUCAGAGGCCAAAGGCCAAAGGAUGGACCACUUUAAGCACACUGUUAGGACUUGACACGUCUUUUAACAAAUGAAAAGUUUGAAUCGGGACUGCAGUGCGAUAAGCUUUUCCCACCAAAAAUCGGCUCUGCUCCAAGCCUGUUUGUCACAUUACAGUACUCCCAUAAUUGGUGGUACACCUUCUUUAAACUUCCUUCUAGAAUUCUGUCAAGCAAGUCACACUUUUCAAGAUAAAUCUAUUUUUAUUUUUGCACUGGGCUCUUCAAAAACAUUUCACACAGUUUAGUAGAAACUGUUUAGAGAUACUCAGUUCGAAGCCCUGAUAUUUCCUGCUAUCGAGGCACCUUUGUGCAGUUGCUUGCUAUCGCAGGGAAGCAACUGAGCAACUCAGCAGCCAAUCAGAGCCAAGAAAGUGGUGCUAAAUUGGUCUGGCAGGAACGGAGCCACUUGUUUUCCUCUCCGACCUCUUGGAAACCUUCAACUGCCUUUGGACAAGCGAGCGUGCACUUGUUGUGACACCAACAGCUGCAACUUCCCAGCUCGAGAAGCCGAGCCCAUAGACACUCCCUACCAAAGGGCAGAAAGCGCCAUUUCAGCAACAGCUUGGGGGAGCUCAAAAGCGAAUAGCUAAAAGAAAAUGCUGCGUUUCCAUAAGACGUUCAGAUUCCUGAAUGCAACAAUGAGGAAUCAGAUCAUUCCUCGAGCAAAUAUCACAGAGAAGCCACCUAAGGAGAUCCUAACGCCAAUAGACCAAGCUAUUGGACUGACUGUGAUGUUUGUAACCUUCUUGGCCCCAUCCGGUUGGAUACUGAGCCAUAUGGAGGAUUACAAGAAUGCGCACCGUGAAUGAAGCACA